UACGUAGGGUGCAGGCGUUAAUCGGAAUUACUGGGCGUAAAGCGUGCGCAGGCGGUUUGUUAAGACAGGUGUGAAAUCCCCGGGCUUAACCUGGGAACUGCACUUGUGACUGCACGGCUGGAGUGCGGCAGAGGGGGAUGGAAUUCCGCGUGUAGCAGUGAAAUGCGUAGAUAUGCGGAGGAACACCGAUGGCGAAGGCAAUCCCCUGGGCCUGCACUGACGCUCAUGCACGAAAGCGUGGGGAGCAAACAGG
rnacentral:rRNA from 1 species